rnacentral:misc_RNA from 1 species
GAUGAAGAACGCAGCGAAAUGCGAUAGUAAUGUGAAUUGCAGAAUUCAGUGAAUCAUCGAAUCUUUGAACGCACAUUGCGCCCGCCAGUAUUCUGGCGGGCAUGCCUGUUCGAGCGUCAUUUCAACCAUCAAGCCCCAGGCUUGUGUUGGGGACCUGCGGCUGCCGCAGGCCCUGAAAACCAGUGGCGGGCUCGCUGUCACACCGGGCGUAGUAGAUUUUAUCUCGCUCAGGGCGUGCUGCGGGUUCCGGCCGUUAAAAAGCCUUUUUUACCCAAGGUUGACCUCGGAUCAGGUAGGAAGACCCGCUGAACUUAAGCAUAUCAAUAAGCGGAGGA